UAGGANUUCGCAUGGAGAAAGUCUGACGGAGCAACGCCGCGUGAGUGAUGAAGGUUUUCGGAUCGUAAAGCUCUGUUGUUAGGGAAGAACAAGUGCCGUUCAAAUAGGGCGGCACCUUGACGGUACCUAACCAGAAAGCCACGGCUAACUACGUGCCAGCAGCCGCGGUAAUACGUAGGUGGCAAGCGUUGUCCGGAAUUAUUGGGCGUAAAGGGCUCGCAGGCGGUUUCUUAAGUCUGAUGUGAAAGCCCCCGGCUCAACCGGGGAGGGUCAUUGGAAACUGGGGAACUUGAGUGCAGAAGAGGAGAGUGGAAUUCCACGUGUAGCGGUGAAAUGCGUAGAGAUGUGGAGGAACACCAGUGGCGAAGGCGACUCUCUGGUCUGUAACUGACGCUGAGGAGCGAAAGCGUGGGGAGCGAACAGGAUUAGAUACCCUGGUAGUCCACGCAA
rnacentral:rRNA from 1 species